rnacentral:rRNA from 1 species
UGGGGAGUAUUGCACAAUGGGGGAAACCCUGAUGCAGCAACGCCGCGUGGGUGAAGAAGGCCUUCGGGUCGUAAAGCCCUUUCGACGGGAAAGAAGGGGUGCAUUGCAAAUAGUAAUGCAUCUUGACGGUACCUGGAGAAGAAGCACCGGCUAAUUUCGUGCCAGCAGCCGCGGUAAUACGAAAGGUGCAAGCGUUGUUCGGAUUUAUUGGGCGUAAAGCGCACACAGGCUGGUUUGUGUGUCGAUUGUGAAAUACCUGGGCUCAACCUGGGAAUUGCAGUCGAAACUGCAGAUCUUGAAUAUUUGCGAGGGUGGGAGAAUUCCUGGUGGAGAAGUGAAAUUCGUAGAGAUCAGGAGGAAUACCGGAGGCGAAGGCGCCUACCUAGCACUAUAUUGACGCUCAAGUGCGAAAGCGUGGGGAGCAAACAGG